UAUGGCGGAAAGAAUGCGUUUUAAUUUUAUCACAUUUUGUAAAAAGGAGCAAGUAUAUUUCUCGGCGCUGACAUUCAUUCUUCCGUAGCUCUUUGCUUUUGUUACAACGAGCAUAUCAGACUUUCCCGGAGAAUCGUGAUCGUGUGGUAUUUUUGUAUUUAAUUUUUUUAAUUCACACCGAUCUAUUUUCGAUAUUCCUUAUUUUUUUUAGGAAGCCCAAAGUCACGAGGAGGAUCCCCCAGCUACUGCUGGUCGUGCAAGAAAAAGAGAGUCCUUUUUUUGUGGCGUUUGAGACAGACUCAAACAAGCGUAACCAGAUGGAUAGACGGUACAUGAAGUCUAUGCAAACAAAAAUGCAAGAAUGGUAUGCUAGGACUAAGCUGUCAGCACUCUGCUUUGCAUUUUGGAAAGGCCAGUUCUGGAUUGCAACAGGUUUAAUGCUUUGACAGUUUAAGGCACUGAUUGAUGUUAUUUACAGCCCACAGUAUAUUUUAAGUGCAACAAGUUCAAGCUCAAGAAAUGGCAGCUGAUGAUGACAUACCACCAGAAGACCCUGUGCAAUUUAGAGUGGUAGAUCUGAGGAAAAUGGUUGUUAGGGAAGUCAAAAAAGAUGGUAAAGAAAUUUAAAAAAGCAAACUGGAUAAACGGUUCGUUUUUCACAAAUGCAAACAAUUUUGGGGGUGAUGUACUUAAAAGGCUAUGCAAUUUGUCUAUUCUAAUCAUACAACCCACAAGUUUGUUUCUCUAAAGUGCUAAAUUGAAUAGUAAUGCAGUUGUUAAAUGUAAAAAUUUAAGCACCCACUGUCAAUUUUCCCAUAAAUUUGCAGAAUAUAUAUGGUGUAUUUUCAUGUAGGGAGAUCUGAGCCUGGAUGGGGGAAAGAAGCAUGCUGACCAGUUUGGUGGCCUGAAGAAGUUGAGUUCACAGAUGUAAAUAAAAGCAGCAAGCGACCACAUCUGGACAAUUUAAUUUCAGUAAUGCAUUCAUACAGAAAUUGGAAUCAACAACAGCACCCUCAAGAGGUUGACAUCACAGUAAAUGGUUCUGCUCACAGUCCUGUGAUUCCCAUUCCUGUAUCAUCAACACCAGCUUCUGCUUUUAUUUCGGAUCCUCCCUCAUCUGCCCCUGAAGUUUUUGCAAGCCCCAUUUGCCCUCCUGCUCCUUCAUCAACACCUGCUGUCACCACUUCCAUUUCUGAUCGUCCCUUGGCUACUCCUGAAGGUCACAUUUAACCUUCUCUUGUAUUUGAGGACAUUGUAAAGAAGAAAUUUGGGAGUGAAUCAGUUUACUGCGGUAAUAUGUGGCAAUCUGUACUGCAAACCUGCAGUGAACUGAAUCAGAUCCAAACAUCAAAGAUGCUGAGUAUUCUAGGAAAACUGAAUGAAGACACUGAAAUCCAUACAAUCAUAAAGCCCCAAAUUGCAAGGGACAUUUUAGGGUGCAUGGUCAGAUUGCCUUGGGAGGUGAAUUUAAGUUUAUCUCCUCACCACCUGGAACAUCUCCUGAAGAUCUCUCUAUGUCAGCUUAUCAGCAGCAAGAAUCAGCGCAGACUUCCUGAGCAGUAAAAAGUUCAGUAAAAGUUAUUAACUUGGAAUGAUUAUCAUCAUCAUUAUUAUUGUUACUAUUAUCAUUAUUUUCAUUUAUAAAUUUUAUUGUAUUGGUUGUUAUUAACUUCA